UAGGGAAUAUUGGUAAUGUGCGAAAGCGCGAACCAGCAACGCCGCGUGCACGAUGAAGGCCUUCGGGUCGUAAAGUGCUUUUAGAGAGGAUGAGGAAGGACAGUACUUUCUGAGUAAGCCUCGGCUAACUACGUGCCAGCAGCCGCGGUAAAACGUAGGAGGCAAGCGUUAUCCGGAUUUACUGGGCGUAAAGCGCAUGCAGGUGGUUUUGUAAGUUGGAUGUGAAAGCUCCUGGCUUAACUGGGAGAGGUCGUUCAAAACUACAAGACUUGAGAUUGGUAGAGGAAAAUGGAAUUCCGGGUGUAGUGGUGAAAUGCGUAGAUAUCCGGAGGAACACCAGUGGCGAGAGCGGUUUUCUGGACCAAUUCUGACACUCAGAUGCGAAAGCUAAGGUAGCAAACG
rnacentral:rRNA from 1 species